rnacentral:rRNA from 1 species
AUUGAACGCUGGCGGCAUGCCUUACACAUGCAAGUCGAACGGUAACAGGUUAAGCUGACGAGUGGCGAACGGGUGAGUAAUAUAUCGGAACGUGCCCAGUCGUGGGGGAUAACGUAGCGAAAGCUACGCUAAUACCGCAUACGAUCUACGGAUGAAAGCGGGGGAUCGCAAGACCUCGCGCGAUUGGAGCGGCCGAUAUCAGAUCUGGUUGUUGGUGAGGUAAAAGCUCACCAAGCCUGCGAUCUGUAGCUGGUCUGAGAGGACGACCAGCCACACCGGAACUGAGACACGGUCCAGACUCCUACGGGAGGCAGCAGUGGGGAGUUUUGGACAAUGGACGCAAGUCCGAUCCAGCAAUGCCGCGUGCAGGACGAAGGCCUUCGGGUUGUAAACUGCUUUUGUACGGAACGAAACGGUGAGCUCUAAUACAGUUUGCUAAUGACGGUACCGUAAGAAUAAGCACCGGCUAACUACGUGCCAGCCGCCGCCGUAA